rnacentral:rRNA from 1 species
UACGAAGGGGGCUAGCGUUGCUCGGAAUCACUGGGCGUAAAGGGUGCGUAGGCGGGUUUUUAAGUCAGGGGUGAAAUCCUGGAGCUCAACUCCAGAACUGCCUUUGAUACUGAAGAUCUUGAGUUCGGGAGAGGUGAGUGGAACUGCGAGUGUAGAGGUGAAAUUCGUAGAUAUUCGCAAGAACACCAGUGGCGAAGGCGGCUCACUGGCCCGAUACUGACGCUGAGGCGCGAAAGCGUGGGGAGCAAACGGG